rnacentral:lncRNA from 1 species
AACAGCCCUUCAGGAAUCCUGAAGGACCAGUGAAGGGCAGCUCGGAAGAAACGCCAUCAAGCAAUUUAAAUGAAAAUGGCGAGCCAAAUUCUGAAAAGUCGACAGCUUCUCUUUACAAAAGUGCUUAAGGACAAGUAAGUAUUUCUAUUUUCACACACACUUCUUUGAUAGGUUAAUUUCGUAACUUUGUGCUUGUUAGCAAACAUGGGAUAACACGUAGAUCCUGUGUCAUGCUGUGACAAGUUUAUCACUAAUUUCCUAAUGACCAGUCUUUCUGAGUACUUUUUGCUGCAUAACAAUGAUAAGUAAAAUAUUUAACAUGCAACUUGUUCCAGGUACAUUUGGGGAAGGAUGUAUACGUUACAGAAGCUUUCUAUAACAGCCUCAUGGCUGCGAAGACGGACAGCCGAUUUGUUCGUGAAGCUGCUGUGGCAAUUUUUUUAAUGGCAGGCUUGGCUGGCCACAGUGUGACCGGUGCAGUGUCCAACCGGACGAAAACUGGCGCAAAGACAGCGUUGGACAAAACUAAGUACUCAGUCCUAAGUGAUUUCUUCAGCAACUUUUUGCUACAACGUUAUCCGAUUGGGGAAAUGGAAAAAAGAAAAAAACUGAUGAAUAAAAUCCUUGCUGUCAAGAUUGCUGACAUAAUGAAAGUGAGUGCAGCAGGACAGCGACGGAGAAAGUGCCAGGAAUCUUGGAGGACUCAAAGAAGCAGGCAAAGAACAUGUAUGUGGAGCGGAAUAAAGACCUUUUGUGUA